rnacentral:lncRNA from 10 species
AGCUGCUGCUGCUAAGCCAGUGAGAUAGAUGGUGGUUUGGAAACACCCUCAUGUGUGUUUCUUCUUUUUGUUGUUUUUGGGAUCCUUACUGAAAUAAUUUUCCCCUCAUUUUAUGAAAUAUAGAGGUUCUUGCUGUAUCUUAUACCCCACCCCAAAUUCUACUGAUUUGUACUGAGCUGUGAUAAAAAUAAUGAUACCAAGUACAUGCAGGGUUUCUUCCAGCCUCUAGGACCUGGCUUUGUCUUCCACUGCUCCUUCUGGGAUGCUCCUCUGAGAACCAAAAUCCGACCCUUUACAUCCAGAUCAGGACAAACUCACAGAGUAGUUUGCGAACUACUAGUUUAGAACUAGUUCGGAAUCUGCUUGUUACGGUUUGUGACAAGAGGAACGCAGAAAUCGAAAGUAAAUAAGGGUAAGAGACUUUUUAGCAAUUGAGCAUUUGUCCCCAACACCCAAGCAUAUGAUCAGGGAAUUAGUCUUGACGGGGCAUGGACCCCUUUGGAUGCUGUUGAACUUGUGAUGAGUUGCAUGCUGCGUGAGCUGUGUUAAAGUCAUGGGCAAUAGGACUGAUUUUUGGUUCCUGAAGGGGUGGAAAUUAAAACAAAACAAAAUAAAACCAAACCAAACAAAGUAAAACGAAAGAAGUGACCCUUUAUCACAGAAAGUUUGUGAGUCACUGCUCUAACCCAUAUCACAUUUUGCCACUUGUGAAUCACCAUAGUAUUUCAGUCUACAUCACAUAAUCUAGGACUGGACUAUACAGGUUUAUUAUUGUUUUUUUGAGACGGAGUCUCACUCUGUGGCCCAGGCUGAAGUACAGUGGCGCCAUCUUGGCUCACUGCAAUCUCUGCCUCCCACCUCCUGGGUUCAAGUGAUUCUCCUGCCUCAGCCUCUUGAGUAGUUGGGAUUACAGGCACGCGCCUGGCUAAUUUUUUUGUAUUUUUAGUAGAGACAGGGUUUCACCAUGUUGGCCACGCUGGUCUCAAACUACUGGCCUCAAGUGAACCACCCGCCUCGGCCACCCAAAGUGCACUGGGAUUACAGGUGUGAGCCACUGUACCCAGCCUGGAC